rnacentral:rRNA from 1 species
CCCUUACUGCUAUCCUUAUCGCAGAUCUGUGAGGCUAGUUACCGGGACUGCCGCUGCUAAAGCGGAGGAAGGAGGGGGCCACGGCAGGUCAGUAUGCCCCGAAACUCCUGGGCCACACGCGGGCUGCAAUGGUAGGGACAAUGGGUCCCGACCUCGAAAGAGGAAGGCAAUCCUCAAACCCUACCUCAGUUGUGAUUGAGGGCUGAAACCCGACCUCAUGAAUAUGGAAUCCCUAGUAACCGCGUGUCAUCACCGCGCGGUGAAUACGUCCCUGUCCUUGCACAAAGC